rnacentral:lncRNA from 1 species
CCAACGUGUGGAAGGCCGAGUGGUCAGACUGGCUGGGCUCAGGUACAGCACCUGUCUAGCAGGUGCAAGGCCCCGGGUUCCUUCCUCUGUGCUGAGGAGGAGGAGGAGAGGAAGAAAGGGAAGGAGAAGGAGGGGGACCAGGAGGUGGCGUCCCUCAAAUGAUCUCUCCUGGGACUGUUACUUACUGCCUCUAUUGGGGUCUAACUGGUACUUGGUCAAAUGUGUCAAUUGUAGGCUCGGUACGAGGACCUCUUCCCGCGUCUACACCCGAGACUCCCAUCCGUUUUUUUCUUUCUUUUCCUGGUACUGGGACUUGAACUCAUGGCCUUGCACUUGCCAGGCAUGCACUGUUCCGCUGAGCUGCAUCCCUGGCCCUACCAGGACUCCCAUCUGAAUCAGGACUUGGACCUUGUGUGUCACAAGGGGGUCUGCUGGUGCCCUCUGCAGGCGCAACCCUCUCUCUGCAGUGAUCCCGGGGGUGGGGUGUAUCACUCAGCACAGGAGGAGGCUCCCAGGACGUGGGCUGUGAGCUGAACAAGUGAGCCGCAUAGGUGCUGUUGUGUCCGGCUGGCGCCCUUCCUCCACCAUGGAGCUUUGUGCACUCAGUGCCCCUCUGCUAGCCCAGAGGAUUCGUAUCCAUGCAAACACUGAUUGUCUGCCCACUCUGCCUCUCAUUAUCUCUAAUGCCCACACCGGAGCUGUUAGGACCAAUUGCAAACAUGCAGGGGCCAGGUCCAACUUCCCAGCCCCCUGAACAGAGUGGCUCUCCGGGCAUCACACCCAGAGUGACAGCGUCUGUGUGCACCAGCUGUCAGACCUGGGCCACCUGCUGGCACCAAAGACUCCUGUUUAUGGGGACAAUGGAGAAGACAACACCAACUAAUUCACAGGCAUCAAGCAAGCUUUGGAUUGUUGUGGGUGACACAGAGGAGGCAAAAAGCCAUUAUGACUGUAAUCGAAAUGAAUCUUCCAAACCACAUUGAAGAAGAAAUCGUCCUAUUUUCCACCCAGAGAGGUGCAAAGAAAAGAGAAUAGAUGCACGCAAGGCUUUCAGCCUGAGGUUGCAAAAGAUGUCUCUCAGCCCAGGAAAUGGGAUGAUCGUGAACAUCACCAAAUAGUGGCUGCGUUAUGGGAUGUUUCUUAGUGAGAGGUUCUGUGGUUGCACUUAAAAAACAAUUCCACGUUGAUACAGCUUUAGUUCUACAGAAUUCCAGCAAAGCAACUCGUGUGUGAGGCCCAGGCCAACUCCUGGGUCGCAGUGACUCCUGCUUGCAAUAUGGGGAGACAGGGUCUCACUACGAAGCCCAGGCUGCCCUUGAAUUUGUGGUGAUCCUCCUGCCUCAGCCUUCCCAGAGCUGGCAUUAUAGCAGUGUGCCACCACUCCCAGCUGUAAUGGCGUUUUAAAAAGUAGGAUUCGACCUGUCUCUGCAGUGUUCACUUUAGCAAUUAC